rnacentral:rRNA from 1 species
AGGAUGAACGCUGGCGGCGUGCUUAACACAUGCAAGUCGAACGGUGAAGCCAAGCUUGCUUGGUGGAUCAGUGGCGAACGGGUGAGUAACACGUGAGCAACCUGCCCUGGACUCUGGGAUAAGCGCUGGAAACGGCGUCUAAUACUGGAUAUGAGCCUCUUCCGCAUGGUGGGGGUUGGAAAGAUUUUUUGGUCUGGGAUGGGCUCGCGGCCUAUCAGCUUGUUGGUGAGGUAAUGGCUCACCAAGGCGUCGACGGGUAGCCGGCCUGAGAGGGUGACCGGCCACACUGGGACUGAGACACGGCCCAGACUCCUACGGGAGGCAGCAGUGGGGAAUAUUGCACAAUGGGCGAAAGCCUGAUGCAGCAACGCCGCGUGAGGGAUGACGGCCUUCGGGUUGUAAACCUCUUUUAGCAGGGAAGAAGCGAAAGUGACGGUACCUGCAGAAAAAGCGCCGGCUAACUACGUGCCAGCAGCCGCGGUAAUACGUAGGGCGCAAGCGUUAUCCGGAAUUAUUGGGCGUAAAGAGCUCGUAGGCGGUUUGUCGCGUCUGCUGUGAAAUCCCGAGGCUCAACCUCGGGCCUGCAGUGGGUACGGGCAGACUAGAGUGCGGUAGGGGAGAUUGGAAUUCCUGGUGUAGCGGUGGAAUGCGCAGAUAUCAGGAGGAACACCGAUGGCGAAGGCAGAUCUCUGGGCCGUAACUGACGCUGAGGAGCGAAAGGGUGGGGAGCAAACAGGCUUAGAUACCCUGGUAGUCCACCCCG